GUGACCUGUGGGUUUCCCUUUGUCAUCCUAUGCCUGGAGCUGUGUGUAAGGCAGGGACAGCAAAGGGAGGCUCAGC
rnacentral:pre_miRNA from 1 species